rnacentral:lncRNA from 1 species
ACAAAGUUCAUAAUGCAUUAGCUUAUUCAAAAAUAGAAAACUACUUAAAAUGCUUCUUUGGAUUCUUGUUACAAGAUUUAUUUGACUUCUGGGAACCAGUUUCUUCUUGUAUUAAAGUACCUGCCUCAUUCUUAGUCAAAUCCAUAGGUUGGUCAGAAUUUGAACCAGGACCUAUAAUUGGUUUUUUAAACCAUUUGAGUUUCAA